rnacentral:rRNA from 1 species
UUUAUUGGAGAGUUUGAUCCUGGCUCAGGAUGAACGCUGGCGGCGUGCCUAAUACAUGCAAGUCGAGCGAAUGGAUUAAGAGCUUGCUCUUAUGAAGUUAGCGGCGGACGGGUGAGUAACACGUGGGUAACCUGCCUAUAAGACUGGGAUAACUCCGGGAAACCGGGGCUAAUACCGGAUAACAUUUUGCACCGCAUGGUGCGAAAUUCAAAGGCGGCUUCGGCUGUCACUUAUGGAUGGACCCGCGUCGCAUUAGCUAGUUGGUGAGGUAACGGCUCACCAAGGCAACGAUGCGUAGCCGACCUGAGAG